rnacentral:rRNA from 1 species
GAGAACUGCCAUACCAUGCUGAAAACACCGGUUCUCGUCUGAUUCCCGAAGUUAAGUAGCAUCGGGUCUGGUUACUACUUGGAUGCAGUUCUCU